CCUUAAGUCAUAAACUUCCAUCCUCAAACUUGCAAUAAGCUACACAAAUAUAUUUUUCUAAAAUGGCCAUCUACGGUGCCUCUAAGUUCAUGACAUUUGUUGCUGUUGCAGCACUACUUUUACUCAUGUUCUCUAUGGUGGCAAGUGCUGACCAACCUGCUAUUAAACUCGGGAGAAGACUAUUCCAAUAUGAAUUACCACCAGCAUAUGGAUCAUAUCCUGGUGGUGGAGGAUAUAACCCAAAACCAUGAAGAAAGCGAUAAACUGAUGCAUAACAGUUCACUGUGCCUGAAAUAUUGCACUAUCGUUCUUUAGUUCUUUUAUUUCAUCAGGAGUCAUAAAAGUUACUUUUAGUGACGAUAUGCAUGUGUGUGCUAGAGUAGAAGAUAGGAAAAUAAUACAUGAUGACAUGUUCAUGUACUUAAUUUCGGCGAAUCAUUUGUACUACUAUUAUGUGUGUCACCACUAAUUAGUGGAUAGACCUGAAUUGCAGCCAAUAAAUUUAUAUAUAUACA